rnacentral:rRNA from 1 species
UACAGAGGUCUCAAGCGUUGUUCGGAUUCAUUGGGCGUAAGGGUGCGUAGGUGGCGCGCUAAGUCAGGUGUGAAAUCUCGGGGCUUAACUCCGAAACUGCAUUUGAUACUGACGUGCUUGAGGACUGGAGAGGAGACUGGAAUUCACGGUGUAGCAGUGAAAUGCGUAGAUAUCGUGAGGAACACCUGUGGCGAAGGCGGGUCUCUGGACAGUUCCUGACACUGAGACACGAAGGCCAGGGGAGCAAACGGG